ensembl:lncRNA
GGACAUGAGAAACCUAACACUCCGCUGUUGAGAGGACAGAACAUGAGAACCUAACAACAGUCCGCUGUGAGAGGACAGGACAUGAGAACCUAACACUCCGCUGUGAGAGGACAGAAACAUGAGAACCUAACAACAGUCCGCUGUGAGGGAACAGGACAUGAGAAUAAUGCGACUGUGACAACAAAUUCAACAACACGAAAGCAGACCGAUAGGCAUCCAGUGUAUCUUGUCGGUUCAUGACGUGGGUCUAGCCGGGGUCGAUGGCUGUUUGCGGGCAGAGGCAGAGGCAGUUGUCCCUGCCGGUACAGAAGUGGGCAGCAUGGCGGACGACGCCGGUGCUGAGGCCUCUGAGGCGGCGCAGUUUACUUUCUGCGGCGGGCUGCGGCUCCCUUCUUGCUGCUACAAUGCGUCAACGUGCAACACACACGUCAGGGGUCCUGUUCUGUUAUGUAGGUAAUGCCCUCUAGUGUCAAGCAUUGGCUUUAAACAGCAGCCAAUGACAUAGUCCCAUUGGUGAACCAUAGUUAUAAUGUAUGAUUUAUUUACAUGUUUAGGAUAACAUACCACGUGUUAAAUUACAAUAUCCAAUAUAGUAUGGGCCCACAUUAUUCUGAGGUCAGGGGCACUAUUUUUACACCGUUAUUACUUACCGUGAGAGUAAAUCGUAUUUUAAAAGAAGCCUAUCAUACAAGGGGGGAAAAAAAGUUAUGUUUGAUUUGAUUAUUGUUCAAAAUGUUGGACUAUCUUUAAGCUAUCCAAAGAGUGUUAUGUUCAGUUUGCUAUUGUUAACAACAGUAGGUUCAGUUUGCUAUUGUAAACACAGUAGAUGUCGUGUUCAGUUUGCUAUUGUAAAACACAGUAGAUGUUGUGUUCAGUAUACUAUUGUAAAACACAGUAGAUGUCGUGUUCAGUUUGCUAUUGUAAAACAUAGUAGAUGUCCUGUUCAGUUUGCUAUGUAAAACACCAGUAGUAGAUUUGUGUUCAGUUAUAUUGUAAAACACAGUAUAGUCGUGUUCAGUUUGCUAUUGUAAAACACCAGUAGAUGUUGUGUUCAGUAUACAUUGUAAAACACAGUAGAUGUUCUGUUCAGUUUGCUAUUGUAAACACAUAGUAGAUGUCCUGUUCAGUUUGCUAUUGUUAAACCAAGUAGAUGUCGUGUUCAGUUUGCUAUUGUUAAAACAUAGUAGAUGUCCUGUCAGUUUUGCAUUGUAAAACACAGUAUAGUCGUGUUCAGUUUGCUAUUGUAAAACACAGUAAUGUCGUGUUCAGUAUACUAUUGUUAAAACACACUAGAUGUUGUGUUCAGCUAAAUGUAAACACACAGUAGAUGUAGUGUUCAGUUUGCUAUUGUAAAACAUAGUAGAUGUCCUGUUCAGUUUGCUAUGUAAAACACAGUAGAUGUCGUGUUCAGUUUGCUAUUGUAAAACACAGUCGAUGACGUGUUCAGUUUGCUUUGUAAAACACAGUAGAUGUUGUGUUCAGUAUACUAUUGUAAAACACACUAGAUGCGUGUUAGUUUGCUAUUGUAAAACACAGUAGAUGUCGUGUUCAGUACUAUUGUAAAAACACAGUAGAUGUCGUGUUCAGUUUGUUAUUGUAAACACAGUAGAUGUCGUGUUCCGUAUACUAUUGUAAAACACCGUAGGAUGUCAUUUUGACCCUGUUAGCUAGUUUAGUCACACUCACACAUUUAGAUGUAGUUGACUGACCCUGCUGCAAUACAAUGUCAAUCUAAUGCCGUACUUACCUCUGUUUUAUCUGAUGGCACAAACUAUAGAUAUUAAGUGUCCCAUCGAGACAAACCCAGCUCAGGGAGAGAAC